rnacentral:lncRNA from 1 species
AGACUCCGUCUCAAAACAAAAAAAAAAAAAAAAAAAGAAAAAAAAUUGCAAUGCCAAUGCAUAAGAGCAAAUUAGCAGCCCCCAUAGGGUUUGUCUUAAUAAUAAUUACUGAGUUACAACUGACAACAGUUCCAAAUAAUUUAUUAUGGGUACAAUAUGCCAAUAAAAAGAAUAUUGGCAAACAUUUAUAGAAACUACAAUUUCCAUUUCUGCCGUGAAGACCUUCCCAAAGGCUCUGGCCGGCUCUGUUCUGUUGAACUGGACUUCUAGCAGCGGGCGUGGGAAACUCACUCCAGGACGGCGCAGCUUCUCUCAGCCCUGAUGGGGAGACGGGGUCUGGGCCUGCGCUUCAACUGCAGCCCCGCAGGAUUCACGACUGCCUAGGGCUGCUGGAGGACCAGGUGGGUUAGCCCACCCCAAACCUGUGUCCCAGUGCCUGAGGCUGUGAAUGCAAACUUGCCCAAGAGGUUUCCUGGGAAAGGAUUGUCGGAAAACCAGACAGAGACAAGGCUUAUCAGCCUGACUCAAUGCCAAAUGCCAGGGUCAGCAGGGACACCUGAUGCACGAGGGCACACACACUGCUGGCCACUCCGCCCUCAGCUCUGGCCUGGCCCUCAGCCCUCACAUGCUGCCGUCAGAGGCCUGAGCAAGGUACUGAAAUGGAGGAAAUGUACACAUUGAAGAGCAGUCUCACUGCCAUCUCUGCUGUGCGGUGAGAGCACACGACUUCAAUUCAGAAAACAUUUCAGCGUGCUGCCACAAGCCGGGCCUGUGUCCCACCAGCUCCCUUCAAAAAGCACGGCUCAGCCCAGCUUUCCAUGCUGGGGGCUGACUUCAGGCCACAGCCACAGUGCCAUGGCCCUUGGUAGGCAUGUCACUAGGGUGGGGACUUCAGAGGACACUGGGUCACUCCUUACGGACCGGAAGCUGGAUAACACCCAGUUAGCUGGAGCAGCAGAGGAGGAAAAUGGUGACCACCUCCUUGUAGUCAAGAGGAAUUUGUUGAACACACCUUAGGAGGACCUGGGAAAUGUGAGCCACCUUUACCAUCACACAUGGCAGGGUUUGGAACCUGGAACCCCUGAUGGCUUUGUGGAUAUUAUUCAGAGAUUUGCAAACCCAGACAGAUUAAAAAAAAAAAAAGAAGCAAAACUACACACAAAAGCAAGAACAAAAGUAAAAAGACUGCGUCAUUAUUUCUUCCAACCUCUAAUUGAGAUUUAGCAUUUUCUUCCUUUGGGAACAUAAGCACUUUCAUAUUCAGCCACUGCAUCUGUAUUUCCUCUCACAGCUUCUUUUGCAGGAAUGACUUCAUUCUACCACCCUUUGCUGCCAUAUCAGGACGUCGGGAAGCAAAGAGACGUGUCGGCUUGAUCAGCACACAGGUCAUUCCUAGAGAGAUCAGCUCAGUCACCGAGCAGGCAGGAACAGGCACUCUGGAGGGGAGAGGCAGGCCCAGGAGGAUGAGUCAAGGCAGGGAUUGAAACUGCAGGAUGAGGGAGUCAGCGCCUGGGAACCCACAGGGCGGAGUUAGAUAAGAAGAAAUGCCCGCGGAAUCUGCAGUUUAAAUGGAGCCUGGGGUUUGUAAAGAGGAGUCAGGCGUUCUUUACCUUGUCAGUUCCGACUGCUUUGUGCACAGCUGACUCAGAGACCGGGUGGGGCUGCCCUCUUAGGUGAAACCAGACCGAUUAGAAAGUCGGCUGGGCCCUGCAGAUCCUGCCGGCCACACCCUCCCAGCAUUAAGGGUAUGCCUCAUCUGUGAAACCAACUCUCCCCCGUGAAGGAGAAGUGACAUGUCCAUUUUAAAGAAAAUCACUUCAUGGUUGAGGAGGCAUGAUUUUUGCAUGCAACAGAGGCAGUGUAGAAGAAGUUCUUAAUCAACCUUUGUGCCAAGAAGCUCUUUAGCAGUCUGAUGAAGCCCGUGGGCCCCUUCUAAGAAUAAUAUUUUUAAACCCAUAACAUAAAUACAUCGGGCACCAAGGAAACCAGUUAUAUUGAAACAGCUAUCAAAGGAAACCAAAUAUCUUGAAAUACAGUUAUCAAAAUAUUGAA